rnacentral:rRNA from 1 species
UACAGAGGGUGCAAGCGUUGUUCGGAAUUAUUGGGCGUAAAGCGCGUGUAGGCGGCUUUGCAAGUCGGGUGUGAAAGCCCUCAGCUCAACUGAGGAAGUGCGCCCGAAACUGCAGAGCUUGAGUACCGGAGAGGAUGGUGGAAUUCCCCAAGUAGAGGUGAAAUUCGUAGAUAUGGGGAGGAACACCGGUGGCGAAGGCGACCAUCUGGACGGAUACUGACGCUGAGACGCGAAAGCGUGGGUAGCAAACAGGAUUAGAAACCCCCGUAGUCC